GUGUUAUGCCAGGUUGAUGGGUUAACUGUAGGGUUGUGUUGGGUGGAGCUGUGAAGUGAAUAGUGUUAUGCCAGGUUGAUGGGUUAACUGUAGGGUUGUGUUGGGUGGAGCUGUGAAGUGAAUAGUGUUAUGCCAGGUUGAUGGGUUAACUGUAGGGUUGUGUUGGGUGGAGCUGUGAAGUGAAUAGUGUUGUGCCAGGUUGAUGGGUUAACUGUAGGGUUGUGUUGGGUGGAGCUGUGAAGUGAAUAGUGUUGUGCCAGGUUGAUGGGUUAACUGUAGGGUUGUGUUGGGUGGAGCUGUGAAGUGAAUAGUGUUGUGCCAGGUUGAUGGGUUAACUGUAGGGUUGUGUUGGGUGGAGCUGUGAAGUGAAUAGUGUUGUGCCAGGUUGAUGGGUUAACUGUAGGGUUGUGUUGGGUGGAGCUGUGAAGUGAAUAGUGUUGUGCCAGGUUGAUGGGUUAACUGUAGGGUUGUGUUGGGUGGAGCUGUGAAGUGAAUAGUGUUGUGCCAGGUUGAUGGGUUAACUGUAGGGUUGUGUUGGGUGGAGCUGUGAAGUGAAUAGUGUUGUGCCAGGUUGAUGGGUUAACUGUAGGGUUGUGUUGGGUGGAGCUGUGAAGUGAAUAGUGUUGUGCCAGGUUGAUGGGUUAACUGUAGGGUUGUGUUGGGUGGAGCUGUGAAGUGAAUAGUGUUGUGCCAGGUUGAUGGGUUAACUGUAGGGUUGUGUUGGGUGGAGCUGUGAAGUGAAUAGUGUUGUGCCAGGUUGAUGGGUUAACUGUAGGGUUGUGUUGGGUGGAGCUGUGAAGUGAAUAGUGUUGUGCCAGGUUGAUGGGUUAACUGUAGGGUUGUGUUGGGUGGAGCUGUGAAGUGAAUAGUGUUGUGCCAGGUUGAUGGGUUAACUGUAGGGUUGUGUUGGGUGGAGCUGUGAAGUGAAUAGUGUUAUGCCAGGUUGAUGGGUUAACUGUAGGGUUGUGUUGGGUGGAGCUGUGAAGUGAAUAGUGUUGUGCCAGGUUGAUGGGUUAACUGUAGGGUUGUGUUGGGUGGAGCUGUGAAGUGAAUAGUGUUGUGCCAGGUUGAUGGGUUAACUGUAGGGUUGUGUUGGGUGGAGCUGUGAAGUGAAUAGUGUUAUGCCAGGUUGAUGGGUUAACUGUAGGGUUGUGUUGGGUGGAGCUGUGAAGUGAAUAGUGUUAUGCCAGGUUGAUGGGUUAAC